rnacentral:lncRNA from 1 species
CUACAUCAGGUUAGCUAGCUUGCUUAUCAUUACCUCCAUUCAUAUCAGUAGUGGAAGAAGAACGAGGUUGUUUGGAUUGAUAUUUUGUAACCAAAUUGAGCAGCAACGCCCUUAUAGUUUCCGAGCAAAUAGUUGGGUCAGAACUCCCAAACAUUGCAACAUAGUACUCAAUUAUGUCUAGCUUGUACCUUGGGUCAAGAACAACAACCAGUGUUAGAAUAUCAUAAAUGUCCAUCCAAUAUUUGUCAAACUUCAAGUUAAUUGCUCUAGCCAUAUUGCUUAUGAUUGGAUUAGGGUCUUCUUGUCACUCACCAAGACUUAGCUUUAGAUCACACACCCUUUUGAAAAACAUAUUUGAAGUUGGGUAACUUGUUCCCAAAGAACAAGUUAGAAAUAGAUGCAAAGACUUUUAAUUUCUCAUAGAUAACUUGAGCAAAUUCAUUCGAACAUGAACACAAGGAAAUAACAAUAAUGGAAAAUGAAUACUCAGGACAUUAGAACAACAAUCUAAUUGAAUUAGAAUAGUAUAUAUAGAUUGAAAUAUGAACAUCGACUUAUAUUUCAUCAAAACCUAUGGUAUUAACAAAACUCUACAGUUAUAAUUUGAAGUAUAAUGUACAAAUGAUAUACAAAGAAGGAGUUUGACUUACUUAUAACUAAGGAAUAAGGAGGAAUAGACCAACUCAGUCUUCCUUAUGAGAAAUGCCAAUUACUGUUGAAGGUAGCUAGACUCCUUUAUAUUGAAUACAACCCAACACCAGACUGUAAGAUGUGUACCUGCAUACACACAACGUCAUUAGAUCAUAUCAAUUCGAACAAGCAGAUUAAACCUUGACGUAAAAAUUAAUGAAAGUUACCGUCUUAUCAAUUCCCAGUAGAGACUAAGCUUAAACCCAGGUUUGGCAUCGUGAAAGGAGAAGAAUACGAGGCUUUUAUAAUGGAAAACUUGAAGCAAGGAUUGUUAACCGAAUCCAUUAAAAAUCUAGGAUUUUGAUUUUCUUUUUUAUCUAUAAUCCAGAAUUCUACAGAGAGUGGCUAAAAACUCGCACAGAUGGAUGAAUAUAGACACUAAUCAAGGCGUAGGAUGGAAUUUGAUGGGAGAAAGAAGGGAUA